GGUCUGGUGGUGUAGUUGGUUAUCACGUCAGUCUAACAGUUCGAGAGCCUCUCCACUCUCUCGUCUGCCUCACUGAAGGUCUCCGGUUCAAGUCCGGGCUAGAUCA
rfam:Colletotrichum fioriniae PJ7 Scaffold_784.1, whole genome shotgun sequence.